GGGGAAUAUUGCACAAUGGAGGAAACUCUGAUGCAGCGACGCCGCGUGAGCGAUGAAGGUUUUCGGAUCGUAAAGCUCUGUCCUAUGGGACGAUAAUGACGGUACCAUAGGAGGAAGCCCCGGCUAACUACGUGCCAGCAGCCGCGGUAAUACGUAGGGGGCGAGCGUUGUCCGGAAUUACUGGGCGUAAAGGGUACGCAGGCGGCUAAGCAAGUCAGAUGUGAAAGGCGUAGGCUCAACCUAUGUAAGCAUUUGAAACUGUUUGGCUUGAGUUAAGGAGAGGAAAGUGGAAUUCCUGGUGUAGCGGUGAAAUGCGUAGAUAUCAGGAAGAAUAUCAGUGGCGAAGGCGACUUUCUGGACUUAUACUGACGCUGAGGUACGAAAGCGUGGGGAGCAAAC
rnacentral:rRNA from 1 species